CUGCGCCCUGUAAUCCAAUAGAGAGACGGUUUGCUCGACCAGGAGGGUGAGAGAGAAGGUUGGGCGGUGGGGGACAGAAGGGAGGAAAAAAAAGGUGAGGGGAGGGGGGCUGGGGGAGAGCGCCCCUAGUGCAGGGGGGAGCUAAAGGGGGAGGGAGGCCAGAGGGAGGCGGGAGCCCUCCCCACCCUAUGAGGGGGGGGGAAGAGCGGCGGGGCAGGCGGUCCGCCACCCCCCCUCCCGCCGGGGUGGGGGAGGGGAGCCCGGAGCGCGCAACGUGAGAGGAUGUGAGAGAUAAAGGAGGGGGGGUUUAGGUGUUCUCCCCUCCCAACUUGCAAUGGUGUGGAAGUGGGGACUCUGCUGGCGCAUGGGAGGGGCUGACCUCCAUGGGGAGGGGGUUGAAAGUCGACAGAGGAAAAAGAGGUCUUUUAAACUCCAAGCUUUCAGAAAGGAUCUGGUCUGAAACGCGGUGCAUGUUGCUGACAGAGGCCAGACUGGAUGAGUUUCUAAGGCCAAAGGUCCUUGAAUUUAGGCCUGGAAGGUAUGUGAGAGAAAACUAGAGGAACUGUAUUGGUUAAACCUCAUUGGAACAUUGGGCAUGCUG
rnacentral:lncRNA from 1 species